GGCGAAACUGCGAAUGGCUCAUUAUAUAAGUUACAGUUUACUUGAUAACACCUUACUACUUGGAUAACCGUGGUAAUUCUAGAGCUAAUACAUGCUGAAAACCCCGACUUCGGAAGGGGUGUAUUUAUUAGAUACAAAGCCAAUGCCCUUCGGGGCUCAAUGGUGAUUCAUGAUAACUUUUCGAAUCGCACGGCCUUGCGCCGGCGAUGGUUCAUUCAAGUUUCUUCCCUAUCAACUUUCGAUGUUUGGAUAUGGGCCAAACAUGGUGGCAACGGGUAACGGAGGGUUAGGGCUCGACCCCGGAGAAGGAGCCUGAGAAACGGCUACUACAUCCAAGGAAGGCAGCAGGCGCGCAAAUUACCCAAUCCCGACUCGGGGAGGUAGUGACAAUAAAUACUGAUACGGGGCUCUAUUGGGUCUUGUAAUUGGAAUGAGUACAAUUUAAAUCCCUUAACGAGGAACAAUUGGAGGGCAAGUCUGGUGCCAGCAGCCGCGGUAAUUCCAGCUCCAAUAGCGUAUAUUAAAGUUGUUGUGGUUAAAAAGCUCGUAGUUGAACCUUGGGCCUGGCUGGCCGGUCCGCCUCACCGCGUGCACUGGACCGGCCGGGCCUUUCCCUCUGCGGAACCCCAUGCCCUUCACUGGGUGUGGCGGGGAAGCAGGACUUUUACUGUGAAAAAAUUAGAGUGCUCCAGGCAGGCCUAUGCUCGAAUACAUUAGCAUGGAAUAAUAGAAUAGGACGCGUGGUUCUAUUUUGUUGGUUUCUAGGACCGCCGUAAUGAUUAAUAGGGACAGUCGGGGGCAUCAGUAUUCGGUAGUCAGAGGUGAAAUUCUUAGAUCUACUGAAGACUAACUACUGCGAAAGCAUUUGUCAAGGAUGUUUUCAUUAAUCAGGAACGAAAGUUAGGGGAUCGAAAACGAUCAGAUACCGUUGUAGUCUUAACCAUAAACUAUGCCGACUAGGGAUCGGACGAUGUUAUUCAUUGACGCGUUCGGCACCUUACGAGAAAUCAAA
rnacentral:rRNA from 1 species